rnacentral:lncRNA from 10 species
CGUUUAGAUCACUGUUCAGAUAGAUUGCUGUUUUGCUGGGAUAGUAGAUGAUUUGGGAAGCCAGUGAUACUACUAGAUGCUGCUAGAUUAAUUUAUAAGAUUUUUAAAUAACAAUCUAUUUUAUGUGUUGAAUUUAUAAUAUAUUUGUGAUGACACAAGACAAAACAAUUACAUUUUCAUUCUAAAAGUAAUUUUUAAGGAGGCAAGGCAGUAUGUUAUGCACAUCUGAAGAUAUAUGAGGAAUACAGUUAGAUAGAAUGAAUAAGAGGUAGCAUUUGGUAGCACAAUAGGGUGACUACAGGUAAGAAUCAUUGUAGUUUCAAUUGGCUGUGUAUCCCUGGCCUCGGGGUGAGGUUAACUGUGCAAAGGAAAGUCACAUUUCAGAACACUUAAAUAUUUUUGCUUGCUAAACCACACUGAAGACACUAAUUCCAUUUAUUUCCUAGCUGUAUAGAGGUGAAUGAGCAAAAAACCACUCCUGCAUUUCCAGUCUUCAAAUAAAGCCUAAUUAAAGAAAUAUAUAGUUUUUAUUGAGCUGCAAGAAAAAGGGACAUGGUACACAAUUAAGUUCGCAUUAAUUAUUAAAGCCAUAAAAUUAUUAAUGUAACAAAUAUUACACAUUAAUAAGAAAUAUAUUUUGUCGCCAACUGCUGCAUGAAAUUUCUCUUUCAUAAUCUAUAAUCCAAAGGAGAAAUGGAAAAAGAAUGUGUAAAAAACAUUAUGUUCUAGCCUUAAGUUUAUUGCUGUUGGAAGUAAGAUGUUUGACAUAUUUCAAUACUAUUAUUUCUAAGAUGCAAUUGUUCUGAGUCAGUUAAACAAUAAAGUGGGAGAAAAAGGUAUAAUUGUGAUAAUAAUUGCUUGUAAUGAAGUUUGACUAGGGGGCUAAAAAUAUUUGUCAAUCUGCCCAAUAUUUUCCUCUGAUAGAAGACUACAAGUUCAGUAUGCAGAGAGGAGAGGGACUUCCUCCACCCUCAUUUCCUAUCUUCCCUGGCUGAGCUUGAAUUAUUCUGCUCUUACUCUUUUUGGAGUGAGAAAGAUGACAUUAAAGCCAGCUUUCUGAUUCAUGGAUCGCCUACUCGGAAAAUUCUCACAGUCAUUCAAAGUCCUUUGGAGAAUAAGAAAUGAUUAUUUAUCCACCCACUCAUCCCCGGUCCUAUUCUGUACUUCUUAUCAAAACCCAGUAACCUGCUACUGCAAUUGGCUGUUUACUUCCAUGCAUGCCAUAGGCUUAUACAGUACACAGCAUAUCAUAAGCCUCUUCUAAGGUCACAAGAGAGCUGUUUUGUUCAAAUCAAGAUUAAGAUUGCAUGAUUUAUAAGUAUCUUAAUGAGAUCUUAUUGGUGAAUCAAUUUUUAAAAUGUUAGUAAUAUCAUCCCUGAGAGGUUUGAAAAAAGAAAAAAAAAAAAGUUAAUGUCUACUGUUGGGGAUGGUACAAGGUGAAGGAGGUGUUCUACUUUAGAAACCAGUGUGUCCGGAAUUGGUGGGUUCUUGGUCUCACUGACUUCAAGAAUGAAGCCACGGACCCUCGCGGUGAGUGUUACCGUUCUUAAAGGCGGCAUGUCCGGAGUUUGUUCCUUCUGAUGUUCGGAUGUGUUCGGAGUUUCUUCCUUCUGGUGGGUUCAUGUUCUCGCUGGCUCAGGAGUGAAGCUGCAAACCUUCACGGUGAGUGUUACAGCUCUUGAGGUAGUGCGUCUGGAGUUGUUCGUUCCUCCUGGUGAGUUCAUGGUCUCGCUGGCUUCAGGAGUGAAGCUGCA